AUGUUCAUUCUUGCCAAUGGCUGGCUGGAGAGUGACAGCUGGGGAGUGUUAAUGCCCAUGUCCCAGAGGCUGGGAGCUGUGACACCUGAGGACCAGGAUCUGGCCAAGGUGGGUGCAUACAAGUACAUCCAGGAGCUGUGGAAGAAGAAGCAGUCUGACGUGAUGCACUUUCUUCUGAGGGUCUGCUGCUGGCAGUACCGCCAGCUCUCUGUGCUCCAUAGGGCUCCCCGCCCCACCUGGCCAGAUAAAGCAUGCAGACUGGGAUACAAGGCUAAGCAAGGUUAUGUCAUAUACAGGAUUCAUGUGUGCCAUGGACGUCGCAAACGCCCAGUUCCUAAGGAUGCAACCUAUGGCAAGACUUUGCAUCAUGGUGUUAACCAGCUGAAGUUUGCUCAAAGCCUUCAGUCUGUUGCUGAGGAGCAAGCUGGACGCCACUGUGGGGUUCUAAUCCACAAGUACAGGGAGAUGCGUGGGCUGACAUCUGCAGGCUGGAAGAGCCGUGGCCUUGAAAAGGGCCAUAAGUUCCACCACACUAUUGGUGGUUCCCGCCGUGCAGCUUGGAGAAGACGCAAUACUCUCCAGCUCCACCGUUACUGCUAAUAUAAGUAAUGUUUGUAAAAUUCAUAACCUAAUAAACAAUUUAGGACAGCCCA